rnacentral:lncRNA from 1 species
CUCUCAGGCUCCUCCCUACUAUCUGGCCCCUCCCACUCUCUAGCUCUUCCCCAUUCUCUCAGGCUCCUCCUCCUCUCUGGCUCCUCCCUGCUCUCUGGGCCCCUCCCACUCUAGCUCUUCCCACAGUCUCUGGCCCCUGCACUGCAGCCCCAUGCCAUCUGCCCUGUGAUACAGCCAAGGCGGCCCUCAUCAGAGCAGAGCAGAUGCCAGUACCAUGCCCCCGAACUUCCAAGACGGUCUGCCCCUCCUGGGGAAUGGAACCCCCUCCAGGGACUAGAAAGGGGCCCCUCAGCUCCCCGGAAGCCCCUGAGAGGGCUUCAUCUGCUGAGAGGCAGAGAGGAUACUGCCCAUCCCUGCUGAAAAACCAACUGGCCUGCAUCCCAGCCAACUUUGAGCUGUGGAAACAUUCAGCACAGAGAAACCUGUGUUCCUGCAAUCUUCUGAGACCCAGGCCAAUGGGAUGCUGUCAUAUACUGUGGGGCUGGGGGCAAAGAAUGGGUAAAACAGGGGUGCAUGGACUGGCUCACCCUGGGGUGCUGGCCCAGUGACACAAGCCCGCAUUAUCGUGG